CCUACGGGGGGCAGCAGUGAGGAAUAUUGGUCAAUGGGCUUACGCCUGAACCAGCCAAGUCGCGUGAGGGAAGACUGCCCUAUGGGUUGUAAACCUCUUUUGUCAGGGAGCAAUUGGCGCUACGUGUAGCGUUAUCGAGAGUACCUGAAGAAAAAGCAUCGGCUAACUCCGUGCCAGCAGCCGCGGUAAUACGGAGGAUGCGAGCGUUAUCCGGAUUUAUUGGGUUUAAAGGGAGCGUAGGUGGAUUGUUAAGUCAGUUGUGAAAGUUUGCGGCUCAACCAUAGAAUUGCCGUUGAAACUGGGAGGCUUGAGUAUGUUUGAGGCAGGCGGAAUGCGUGGUGUAGCGGUGAAAUGCUUAGAUAUCACGCAGAACCCCGAUUGCGAAGGCAGCCUGCCAAGCCAUGACUGACGCUGAUGCACGAAAGCGUGGGGAUCAAACAGGAUUAGAUACCCUUGUAGUC
rnacentral:rRNA from 1 species